AGGUGACCUGCGGAAGGAU
rnacentral:rRNA from 1 species